rnacentral:miRNA from 1 species
GUUAAUAUUAAUUCUAAGUAUGGGACUUGCAUAGAUCGCUGUUCAGGGAUACCCCCUGAACAGCGAUCUAUGCAAGUCCCAUACUUAGAAUGAAUAUUAUUUUUAAA